rnacentral:rRNA from 1 species
AUUGAACGCUGGCGGCAUGCCUUACACAUGCAAGUCGAACGGCAGCACGGGAGCAAUCCUGGUGGCGAGUGGCGAACGGGUGAGUAAAGUAUCGGAACGUGCCCAGUCGUGGGGGAUAACGUAGCGAAAGUUACGCUAAUACCGCAUACGAUCUAUGGAUGAAAGCGGGGGAUCGCAAGACCUCGCGCGAUUGGAGCGGCCGAUAUCAGAUUAGGUAGUUGGUGGGGUAAAGGCUCACCAAGCCGACGAUCCGUAGCUGGUCUGAGAGGACGACCAGCCACACUGGGACUGAGACACGGCCCAGACUCCUACGGGAGGCAGCAGUGGGGAAUUGUGGACAAUGGGCGAAAGCCUGAUCCAGCCAUGCCGCGUGCAGGAUGAAGGCCUUCGGGUUGUAAACUGCUUUUGUACGGAACGAAAAGGUUUGGCCUAAUAAGCUGAGCUCAUGACGGUACCGUAAGAAUAAGCACCGGCUAACUACGUGCCAGCCGCCGCGGUAA